AGUGAACGCUGGCGGUAGGCCUAACACAUGCAAGUCGAACGGCAGCACAGUAAGAGCUUGCUCUUACGGGUGGCGAGUGGCGGACGGGUGAGGAAUACAUCGGAAUCUACUUUUUCGUGGGGGAUAACGUAGGGAAACUUACGCUAAUACCGCAUACGACCUACGGGUGAAAGCAGGGGAUCUUCGGACCUUGCGCGAUUGAAUUAGCCGAUGUCGGAUUAGCUAGUUGGCGGGGUAAAGGCCCACCAAGGCGACGAUCCGUAGCUGGUCUGAGAGGAUGAUCAGCCACACUGGAGCUGAGACACGGUCCAGACUCCUACGGGAGGCAGCAGUGGGGAAUAUUGGACAAUGGGCGCAAGCCUGAUCCAGCCAUACCGCGUGGGUGAAGAAGGCCUUCGGGUUGUAAAGCCCUUUUGUUGGGAAAGAAAAGCAGCAGGUUAAUACCCCGCUGUUCUGACGGUACCCAAAGAAUAAGCACCGGCUAACUUCGUG
rnacentral:rRNA from 1 species